AUGGGAUUUUUGCUCCUUUUAGUUUUCUCUUUAGCAGCUUUGGAAGGUGUCUGGUCGCAGGUGCAGCUGGUGGAGUCCGGAGGGGAUGUGAAAAAGCCCGGAGACUCUCUCCGCCUCUCCUGCAAAGCCUCCGGGUUCACCUUCAGCAGCGCCUACAUGAGCUGGGUCCGGCAGGCUCCUGGGAAGGGGCUGGAAUGGGUCGCUUAUAUUAGCAGCAGUGGGGGUACUAUAUACCUUGAUUCAGUGAAAGGCCGGUUCACCAUCUCCAGGGAUAAUCCCAAGAGUGAGCUGUAUCUGCAAAUGAGCGGCCUGAAGCCCGAGGACACCGCCCGCUAUUACUGUGCGAGAGACACAGCUUGCGGCGUCAAACAGCUAAUUGGUGCCGCAAGCCUGGGAGGCGGGAAAAGCGAAGCAGCGACUGCGCAGUGGAACCCCCAGGCUGCCAGCGGUGCCGGGGGGGCUCAGCGCAGCCGCCGCUGA